GACGAACGCUGGCGGCGUGCUUAACACAUGCAAGUCGAACGCUGAAGCUUGUUGCUUGUACUGGGUGGAUGAGUGGCGCACGAGUACGUGCUACGUGAGUAACCAGAACUAGACUCUGGGAUAAGCAUGGGACACUGGGUCUAAUACUGGAUACGACAUGCCACUGCAUGGUGGUGUGUGGAAUGGGUUUUAAUGGUUUUGGGUGGGCUCGUGGCCUAUCAGCUAGUUGGUGGGGUACUGGCCUACCAAGGCGACGACUGGUAGCCGGCCUGCGAGGGUGACCGGCCACACUGGGACUGAGACACGGCCCAGACUCCUACGGGAGGGAGCAGGGGGGAAUAAUGCACAAGGGGCGGAAGCCUGAUGCAGCGACGCCGCGUGAGGGAUGACGGCCUGCGGGUUGUAAGCCUCUUUCAGCACGGAAGAAGCGAGAGAGACGGUACGUGCAGAAGAAGCGCCGGCUAACUACGGG
rnacentral:rRNA from 1 species